UCGACUAGUGCAUGUCAGUUACACGAGUAUGGCUUCAUCCAUCCCAUCACACCUGCAAAUGCCACCUCCGCGGCGGACGCUCACACCCGCACACACCCCCUCCAGCCUCCUCCCAGGCUGACUUGGAGCAUGUCCAGUCUGGCUAAUAUAAACAUUUGCGUGGCUUUCCUCGUCAAAACUGGGUUCCCGUGUCUCCUCCUGGACGAACGGCCCCUUCCUUGGCGUCGAGCCUGGCCUCGGUGCAGCCAAAGCACGUCAUUGUCCAUGCCUGUAGCCACCGCCAGGUUCAGGUUCAGGUGCAGUCAGGCCGGGGACCCGGGCAAGAGCUGACUUAUUGGUUGAGCUUCUUGCUAGUCCACGAAUAGGCUUCUCCUCCGAAGAGCUGAAGAUGCGAUGUGAAAAAUCCACCGACCGGCAGUCGGCUUUGAGGUGGCAGAUAUCAGAGGUCACGGCAAAGGCUGAAGGUGUGGAUGUGAAUGGGUAUAAGAAUAGGGAGUGAAGAAAAGGAAUCAAAUCAAAAGGACAUUGGGGGCCGAGACAGGCAGAAAUUACCUUGGCUGGGGGCAGCACAGUCGUGAGGGUGGCGGCCUGCCCACCUCUUCUCUACCCCAGGACGUGCAGACAUAGGGUGCUUCUUUUCCAAUCUAACAAGGACAGCCGAGGCACAAUUGUCCUUUCUCAGGCGGUUGCUAUUUCAGGAAAUGUGUUCUACCAAAACAACUUUCUAUUCAUCCCAUUACUGCUGGAGGACGCAGGCUGCAUGUUCUUUUCCUGGAAUGGCGGAACCGAUUAAGGCUCCUCUGUCCAUAUGAACGUUGUGUGUGUGCAUGCGCGUGUGUGCAUGUAUGUGUCUACUCAGAAGUGCACGUUCCAGACAAGCAACCUAAGAGAGCCUAGGUUGGCCCUUCAGAGGGCAUUCUAAGGUGUAAUUUUUAGCGAUCAUAUUUUUCCAUUGUAGGAACUUUAUUAAGAGCCCACAAUAGAGAAUUUUUUUAAAGCAGAUGUCAUGCAUCUGCCGUUAUAUAUGCAAUUUUUUAUAUUCUAGAGCCAUUGGCAACUAUUACAUCCUCGGCAGAACGAUCACACUUUUGAGCUCUCACUUUGAGAACAGAGCGUGGUUUGUUCACAGGCCAAGUUAUUGCAACAAGGGAAGAUGUCUCUGUUUUCGGAAAUUUCUCAAUUACGCUUUGCUGCUGAGAGCUGGCACAAAAUAGUAACCCAGGAAGAUUUACAGAGACUGGGGAGUCUUCCUGUUCUCACCGGAUUCCUCGGGCAUUAUCUUAAACCAGCAGCCUUUCCAGGGACCGCGCUGGCGGCAUCUCACACCCCCCACGCGGAGCGGAGUCUCUGCCCUCCGUGCACGUGACUGCUCCAACACCACCCUCUCCCGGGGCCAAGGCACAGCCGGUGACGGCGCUGUGGAGAGGACCCCGCGGCGUGGCAUCCCUGAGUGUGGAAGGAGGACACUGUAAAAUACUUUCCUUGAAACCUGACUCUCGUGGUCCUUCAAGAACAUUUUGUUUUAGUUCUUUAUAUAUAACAUCCAGGCUGGAUUGAGACUUUUGUUGGACUUGAUUGGACUUUUGUUGGGGGAGUGGGAGGGAGUGUUUGGAGCUCUGGUAUUGUUUCGAGCACACAGGAAUAAAAACGGGAAGCUUAGUUUUGCUACCUGUAACCUA